UUAAUGGACUGAACCUCUGAACCUCAUUUCUAUGAAUCACUGCCACAUCUGGGCCUUAGCAUCCUUGCUGUAGAGGGACCACCCCCAUCCACCUGCAUCUCGUGAAACUACCCAGGGGAAGGACCACGGAAGAGGGACGCUGCAGGGGAGGUUUUUACUGAUGUUUCUCUGAGUCACAGUUUCAUGUGUCUUGAGCUUACUACGUAGCUGAAGAUGGCCUUGAACUUGGAUCCUUCUGUGUCCCCCCUCAAGUGGUGGGAUCGCAAGAGUACACCACAAGGCUUGAAUUACUAAGCGAACACUCUCCACACUGAGCUACAUCCCAGCACAUCAGCUGCUGCUUAAUUGACCAUCUGCCUGUUUCAAGUGUUCCUUCAGGUGUGGAGGCCACCCCUAGACCUUAGAGCAGGGUAAUUCUCAACACUUGGGUCUUGUCUCACCCACUUGGGAGCAGAACAACCCUUUCAACAGGGGUCACAUAUCAGAUAUUGACAUUGUGACAUACAACACUAGCAGAUUUAGUUACUUUUUUACGGUUGGGGUCACCACAACAUGAGGAACUGUAUUAAAGGGCCGUAGUGUUAGGAAGGUUGAGAACCAAUGAGAGCAAGACGAUGCUCUCUCAAACCCCAGAGUGGUUAUCUCUGCACCCUACCAGAGUGGCUCCCCUUCCUGCCCCAGGUCUCUGUACUUGAGGCUGAGGGGUCUAGGCAGGCCCCAGGACCACCUCGGCACAAAGAAACAAUGCACAAAGGACAGAGGUUUACUGGAACCUUCCCAGCCCUCUCUUGUCUCCCACUGCCUUGUCACGACACUCUGCAUUCACGGUCCCGGCAGCAUGCUUCAGAAACCAGAGCUGCCCUAAACUGGGGCCCUGCUGCGCAGCAGGGCCUAGGCGCCAGGCCAAUUUGCUGGUGGUGAAGCUAAGUUCUGCUUCUCUGAGUCUAUUGAUUUUCCUUUUCAAGCCGGCUAUUUGCUUCAGAGUUAUGCCCUCACAUCCUACCAGGAUUCCACCUACGCUGCUCUCUGUACUGCCACAUCCUGCCAGGCACACAGCCUCUGACCCUCCGAGGCUUACUGACAGCUCCUGCAGCCGCAGCCAGCCCACACAAGCCUGCCUUCCCAGACCCCGGUGACCCGAGACUCUACUCGCACAAAGCAUCUUGGAGAGGGGGCUGGUUCUUCAACACAGGUAGAACUGAUACAAUUUCAGGCCAGGGCCGGGAAGUGACUGCCAAGGUCACCUAGCUAGGACAGAGCUGAGCUAAGGUUCAAGCCACAGAACACCGCUUGCUACCAACAGGCUAAAACAAAUGGCAACAUAAACCUUUUUGUUUCUUCGCUGUUCAGAAUCUUCCCUGAUUGCCUGUAACCACAGUUGGUUCUGGGCGUCACUGUGUGAUAUAUUUCAUGGGCAUACAUGAGCGUUCACCUACAGCACUGUUCACAGGCUCAGGGCUACCUAGCAGGCCUCACAUGCAUAGAGUUCUGUAAGGAGAAAGCCAGGCGAGAGGUACCUACCCUCUAGGUAGUUCAAUGAAAAAAAGAAAUGAAAAGGAAAGGCCUUGACGGCUCCUAAGUAUGCUGGAGGAAAGCUUAUUACAGAUGUGGGGGAGAGCAGAGCCAGAGGCAGGCAUGUCUGGCAGAAUGGGGAGUGAACAGGAGGCCCCUCAGUCUUGUGAGGAGGGGAAGGGAAGGGCGAGAGGGGAGGGGGAAACCAGAUACAGCAGCCAGGAGGCCCAAAGGAUGAGGUAACCGGAAAUGAUUGGAUUAUAUAGGGAAGGGGAGCUGGGGCAAAGGCAGCCCAGCCCUUGGGCUGGAGAAGUUUAGGGGUGGGGGUGGGGAAUGCCAGUCCAGAGGGCCCUGCAUCACGUUGGGACUGAGGGAUGCAGAGAGAACCUGGCUGCCAGGGUUGGCUUUGAUAUGUGAAAUAGGCUCCUCAACCAUUUGCUUGAAACCUAACAAUAGGAUGGGUCUUCAGGAACGAUAUCCUUCAGGUCUGCUUGGGUAAUGACUGGUUGUGGCGCUGGCCGACAGGUAGAGCCAGCAGGUGGGGUAUAACCAGGGUACCUGUGGCCCCUUUCACUGCUCAAGGAUAGGCCUGUUUGAUAGCAAGAGGCGUUCUAGGACUUGAACCUUAGCUAAGCCCUGUCCUAGCUAGGUGACCUUGGCAGGUGAACCUCAAGCACAUGGGGUUGGAGAGAGAGAGAGAGAGAGAGCGAGAGAGCGAGAGAGAGAGCGCACUAGCUCAUGUUUGUCAGGUGGUUCUGCACCCGGUGUUUAGUUCCUGCAGAUUGCACCAGAAAUGAGGAAUGCAGUUUUUAAAAUAUUAACUUGCUGACAUGCCUGUAUGGAAAUUUCCCAAGCGGCUGUGACCACAAUAAACACCCCACACCCCCAGACUCGAGGCUCUCACUUCUGACCUGAUGCAACAGUGAUGGUGAGAGUCCUUGCUCACAAGCUUGUAAUAAAGACCCUUAUGUGUUUACAUCAGAAUGGCUCCUUGGUGGUCUUUGGGGUCCCCGUGACUUGGGCAUAACACUUCUUCCACAUCAUUCUUGUUACUUACUGACGCAACCACCAGGCUAGCUGGCCA